rnacentral:snoRNA from 1 species
CACCAAAGCAUUUAGUCAGGGUGGCAUUUGCAUUUUCCAACUAAAUUUCUAACGAUUUUUUCAUUUGGAUUAUAAUAUUCACAGUGUUGCCUGUUACGUCUUUGGGAAAUCAACUACGUGUUCUUUGACUUUUGAGCACCAUUCUUUCGUUUUGACUGAAUGGAGCUUUUUUUUACUGCAGGUAGUUUUUACCAGCAUUGCAAAGUCACGUAUCGGAAUCUUUUUGAGUUGAAGCUAGUCUGUCGUAUAGGACAAUAUCCACUAGGUUCGUAGUAUAGAAUCCAACAUCU